rnacentral:rRNA from 1 species
UACGGAGGGUGCAAGCGUUAUCCGGAUUCACUGGGUUUAAGGGGUGCGUAGGUGGGCAGGUAAGUCAGUGGUGAAAUCUCCGGGCUUAACCCGGAAACUGCCGUUGAUACUAUUUGUCUUGAAUAUUGUGGAGGUAAGCGGAAUAUGUCAUGUAGCGGUGAAAUGCUUAGAUAUGACAUAGAACACCAAUUGCGAAGGCAGCUUACUACACAAUGAUUGACACUGAGGCACGAAAGCGUGGGGAUCAAACAGG